rnacentral:rRNA from 1 species
GAUGAACGCUGGCGGCGUGCCUAAUACAUGCAAGUCGAGCGAACAGACGAGGAUCUUGCUCGUCUGACGUUAGCGGCGGACGGGUGAGUAACACGUGUAUAACCUACCUAUAAGACUGGGAUAACUUCGGGAAACCGGAGCUAAUACCGGAUAAGAUAUUGAACCGCAUGGUUCAAUAGUGAAAGACGGUGUUGCUGUCACUUAUAGAUGGAUCCGCGCCGCAUUAGCUAGUUGGUAAGUUAACGGCUUAUCAAGGCAACGAUGCGUAGCCGACGUGAGAGGGUGAUCGGCCACACUGGAACUGAGACACGGUCCAGACUCCUACGGGAGGCAGCAGUAGGGAAUCUUCCGCAGUGGGCGAAAGCCUGACGGAGCAACGGCGAGUGAGUGAUGACGGUCUUCGGAUCGUAAAAAUCUGUUAUUAGGGAAGAACAAAUGUGUAAGUAAAUAUGCACGUCUUGACGGUACCUAAUCAGAAAGCAACGGCUAACUACGUG